rnacentral:rRNA from 1 species
AUUGAACGCUGGCGGCAUGCCUUACACAUGCAAGUCGAACGGUAACAGGUCUUCGGAUGCUGACGAGUGGCGAACGGGUGAGUAAUACAUCGGAACGUGCCUAGUAGUGGGGGAUAACUACUCGAAAGAGUGGCUAAUACCGCAUGAGAUCUACGGAUGAAAGCAGGGGAUCGCAAGACCUUGUGCUACUAGAGCGGCCGAUGGCAGAUUAGGUAGUUGGUGGGAUAAAAGCUUACCAAGCCGACGAUCUGUAGCUGGUCUGAGAGGACGACCAGCCACGCGGGGACUGAGACACGGCCCAGACUCCUACGGGAGGCAGCAGUGGGGAAUUUUGGACAAUGGGCGCAAGCCUGAUCCAGCAAUGCCGCGUGCAGGAUGAAGGCCUUCGGGUUGUAAACUGCUUUUGUACGGAACGAAAAGCCCUGGGUUAAUACCCUGGGGUCAUGACGGUACCGUAAGAAUAAGCACCGGCUAACUACGUGCCAGCCGCCGCCGUAACAC